rnacentral:rRNA from 1 species
CCUACGGGUGGCAGCAGUGAGGAAUAUUGGUCAAUGGACGAGAGUCUGAACCAGCCAAGUAGCGUGAAGGAUGACUGCCCUAUGGGUUGUAAACUUCUUUUAUAAAGGAAUAAAACGAGGCACGUGUGCCUUUUUGCAUGUACUUUAUGAAUAAGGAUCGGCUAACUCCGUGCCAGCAGCCGCGGUAAUACGGAGGAUCCGAGCGUUAUCCGGAUUUAUUGGGUUUAAAGGGAGCGUAGAUGGGUUGUUAAGUCAGUUGUGAAAGUUUGCGGCUCAACCGUAAAAUUGCAAUUGAUACUGGCAGUCUUGAGUACAGUUGAGGUAAGCGGAAUUCGUGGUGUAGCGGUGAAAUGCUUAGAUAUCACGAAGAACCCCGAUUGCGAAGGCAGCUUACUAAACUGUGACUGACAUUGAUGCACGAAAGCGUGGGUAUCGAACAGGAUUAGAUACCCGAGUAGUC